rnacentral:rRNA from 1 species
GUCGCAAGACCAAAGAGGGGGACCUUCGGGCCUCUUGCCAUCGGAUGUGCCCAGAUGGGAUUAGCUAGUAGGUGGGGUAACGGCUCACCUAGGCGACGAUCCCUAGCUGGUCUGAGAGGAUGACCAGCCACACUGGAACUGAGACACGGUCCAGACUCCUACGGGAGGCAGCAGUGGGGAAUAUUGCACAAUGGGCGCAAGCCUGAUGCAGCCAUGCCGCGUGUAUGAAGAAGGCCUUCGGGUUGUAAAGUACUUUCAGCGGGGAGGAAGGGAGUAAAGUUAAUACCUUUGCUCAUUGACGUUACCCGCAGAAGAAGCACCGGCUAACUCCGUGCCAGCAGCCGCGGUAAUACGGAGGGUGCAAGCGUUAAUCGGAAUUACUGGGCGUAAAGCGCACGCAGGCGGUUUGUUAAGUCAGAUGUGAAAUCCCCGGGCUCAACCUGGGAACUGCAUCUGAUACUGG